UUACGGGAGGCAGCAGUAAGGAAUAUUGGUCAAUGGACGCAAGUCUGAACCAGCCAUGCCGCGUGAAGGAUGACAGCCCUAGUGGUUGUAAACUUCUUUUGUACGGGAAAAAACCUCCGGUCGUGAAUCGGAGCUGAUGGUACCGUAAGAAUAAGCAUCGGCUAACUCCGUGCCAGCAGCCGCGGUAAUACGGAGGAUGCAAGCGUUAUCCGGAUUCAUUGGGUUUAAAGGGUGCGCAGGCGGAAUGAUAAGUCAGUGGUGAAAUCCAACAGCUUAACUGUUGAACUGCCAUUGAUACUGUUGUUCUUGAGUAUAGUUGGAGUGGGCGGAAUGUGUCAUGUAGCGGUGAAAUGCUUAGAUAUGACACAGAACACCGAUCGCGAAGGCAGCUCGCUAAACUAUAACUGACGCUCAUGCACGAAAGCGUGGGGAUCAAACAGGAUUAGAUACCCUGGUAGA
rnacentral:rRNA from 1 species